GACGAACGCUGGCGGCGUGCUUAACACAUGCAAGUCGAACGGUAAGGCCCUUCGGGGUACACGAGUGGCGAACGGGUGAGUAACACGUGGGUGAUCUGCCCUGCACUUUGGGAUAAGCCUGGGAAACUGGGUCUAAUACCGGAUAGGACCAUGCGCUUCAAGGUGUGUGGUGGAAAGCUUUUGCGGUGGGGGAUGGGCCCGCGGCCUAUCAGCUUGUUGGUGGGGUAAUGGCCUACCAAGGCGACGACGGGUAGCCGGCCUGAGAGGGUGACCGGCCACACUGGGACUGAGAUACGGCCCAGACUCCUACGGGAGGCAGCAGUGGGGAAUAUUGCACAAUGGGCGCAAGCCUGAUGCAGCGACGCCGCGUGAGGGAUGACGGCCUUCGGGUUGUAAACCUCUUUCAGUAGGGACGAAGCGCAAGUGACGGUACCUACAGAAGAAGGACCGGCCAACUACGUGCCAGCCGCCGCCGUAA
rnacentral:rRNA from 1 species